AAGUCGUAACAAGGUUUCCGUAGGUGAACCUGCGGAAGGAUCAUUACAAAUCGAAUGGGGGGGAUUAAGGGGGAUGUCUUGGCCGUAAGGUCUUGAUUGACCCAACCAUUCCCUCUCAAUACAUAUGCACAAGGCCGCAAGGUCUUGAUGUUUACGCUUGAUUGUUUGACAGAUUUUAUUCAGUACCAAUAUUUAGACAACUUUUAACAAUGGAUCUCUUGGCUCUUGC
rnacentral:misc_RNA from 1 species